rnacentral:lncRNA from 1 species
AUACAGUUUCCUCUCAUGAACAAUGAAUGCACUGUGAGUUUGGACAUCCAGUAUUCUUGAUUUUUAAAGUCAAAGUAAGAAAAAAGUAAGUCCAUGUGCUGGGUGAGGUGGCACUCACCUUUGAUCCCAGCACUCUGGAGGCAGAGGCAGGCAGAUUUCUAUGAAUUUGAGGCCCACCUGGUCUAUAGAGUGAGUUACAGGAGAGCCAGGGCUAUUACACAGAGAAACCAUGUCUUGAAAAAACCAACCUCCUCCCCCCCCAAAGAAUGCCCAUGUAUUAUGAGUCUUAUUGGGUGAGAUGGUCUAUAGGCUGUGGGUUCUAUGUGUGCCUCUCCACAUCCCUUCUCCAGCUCUGUCACCUGCCUGCUAAGCAGGCUAACCUAUAUGGAUCACAUUACUGACCUUGUGACCAUCCUGGCAGGAGAAGAGAUAUUUAUAAAGUGAAACCUUUGUGACCCUUUCAUCAAACAACUGAAACAAUGGACUCCAAAGAACUAGAAGUUUUCCAGGAAUUCCUUGCUGGGAAAGGAAAGGCUGAGUUCCUGAUACCAGCCAGAGGACAAUUUGCCUCCAUGGAAGAACUUUCACACAGCACUGGCAAUGUAUCCGACUACCUUGUAGGGUAGACAGGAGCCAUGACUAUAAUGGACCUGAGACAGAACCAUACAUUGAUGAGGGUUUGCUUAAUUACAUAAUUCUUUCUCUCUACCUCCCUCCUGUCUUCCUACCUCCCUACCUGCCUCCCAUAUAUAUAUGCAACACCUAAUCUAGAAAUUUUCCUUCAUCUGUGCUCUGAGUAAGUCCCAAAGCUAUGGGUUUGUCAAGCUGGACUUUGCUGGAAUCACAUUUUGGUUGGCCAUUGGUGCCCUAUCUGGGGAGAGUAGGUAGAUAGAUGUUUAUUCCAAUCACCUGUAGUAGUUUGAAUGAGAAUGGCCCACAUAGGCACAUGUAUUUAAAUACUUGGUACUUAGUUGGUGGAAUUGUUUGUGAAGGAUUAGGAGGCAUGGUCUUGUUGGAUGAUGUAUGUCACUGGAAGUGAGCUUUGAGGUUCCAAAAUCUCCCACUUAACUCGCUCUCUUUUCAUACAACAGAUAGCCACCGUCCUUAGCCCCGAUUCUACACUAUGCAUGCCUGUGGCUUCCUACACCCUGACCACAUGUUGGUCAUCUUGGGAAGAUGCUGUUGUGAUUUGUUGACAAGAAAACCCACUUGUGGUCAUAUUGUUUGAAUUUUGGUUUGAAUAGAGCAUAUGUGGUAGGGGUCUGGAGAUCUGCUGGAGGACAAGGUCUUUCCCUGCUGAUGUAACAUUCCACCCAACUGGUCUUGUUUCUUGGAAUCCUUAGAUAAAACCACAGUAGAGUACCAGAGAGUAAGUGUAGUAUGUGGUGUCCAAUAUUGAAUUACAUGAGACACAAGCUGGCAAAGUUUGAUGGAAGGAACCAGCCUGCAUAGUGAGGUUUUUUUUGUUUUGUUUUGUUUUGUUUUUUUGUUUUUUUUU